GAAAUAUGAGUUUUGGAGAAAAGAUGAAAGAAGAAUUCUUGACAAUGACAUGAUUCACCUAAAACUCUGAAUAAUUUAUUAAGCAUUAGAACAUAUAUGUAUUCUCUAAUCUGCAUUUGUUGUCUGCAUAAGUACCUACCAGAUGGAAAUAAAAAAGGGGAGCCAAUGAAAACACUAAUACUGAAAAUUUUCUUUUUUCCUGGACAAAGAACCCCAAGGACAAAUCCAAAAAAUUAAUAACAGAUCUUUCCUAAAUUAACCUAAUUGAUUUAAAUUAUCUAAAGUAAAAACCCAUUAUAAAAGAAAAAAAAAAAUAACAGUAAUCUCUUGCAAAGAAAUUCAGAUAUAGUUACGGAAACAAUAUUUUCAUCAAUAACACAAAACAACAAUCAGCACCAGCCUCUCAUUGUCCCCUUCAGAAACCAACCCUUCAACCUUUGAAAUGAAAUG
rnacentral:misc_RNA from 1 species